GACGAACGCUGGCGGCGUGCUUAACACAUGCAAGUCGAACGGAAAGGCCUGCUUUCCCUUGUGGAUUGCGGGUACUCGAGUGGCGAACGGGUGAGUAACACGUGAGUGAUCUGCCCCCAACUUGGGUAUAAGCCUGGGAAACUGGGUCUAAUUCCCGAUAGGACUGCAGGGUGGUGCCUGUGGUGGAAAACGAUUUUCUAGUGGUUGGGGAUGAGCUCGCGGCCUAUCAGCUUGUUGGUGGGGGAAUGGCCUACCAAGGCGGGGACGGGUAGCCGGCCUGAGGGGGUGGACAGCCGCAUUGGGACUGAGAUACGGCCCAGACGCCUGCGGGAGGCAGCAGUGGGGAAUAAUGCGCAGUGGGCGGAAGCCUGAUGCAGCGACGCCGCGUGGGGGAUGACGGCGUUCGGGUUGUAAACUCCUUUCGACCGCGAGGAAGCCACCUGGUUGGAGGGGUGGUGACGGUAGUGGUAGAAGAAGCACCGGCUAACUACGUG
rnacentral:rRNA from 1 species